GCCCACUGAUAGUUAUUAAAGGGCCGCAGUAUUUUGACUGUGCGAAGGUAGCAUAAUCAAUAGUCUUUUAAUUGAAGGCUUGUAUGAAUGGUUGAAUGAGAUAUAUACUGUCUUUUUUAAAUUUUUAUAGAAUUUUAUUUUUUAAUUAAAAAGUUAAAAUAUAAUUAAAAGACGAGAAGACCCUAUAGAUCUUUAUUUUUGUUAAUUAUAAAUAAAAAAGAAUAUUUAAAUUUAUAAUUUAAUAAAAAAAUUUUACUGGGGUGGUAUUAAAAUUUAAUUAACUUUUUAUUGUUUAUUUACAUUAAUAUAUGAAUAUUUGAUCCAAUUAUAUUGAUUAAAAAAUUAAGUUACCUUAGGGAUAACAGCGUAAUUUUUUUUUAGAGUUCUUAUCGACAAAAAAGAUUGCGACCUCGAUGUUGGAUUAAGAGUUAUUUUUAGGUGUAGAAGUUUAAAGUUUAGGUCUGUUCGACCUUUAAAUUCUUACAUGAUCUGAGUUCAAACCGGCGUAAGCCAGGUUGGUUUCUAUCUUUAAUUAAUUAUUAUAUUAUAGUACGAAAGGACCUAAUAUAAAAAAUAUAAAUUUUAAAUUUAUGAAUUAUAUUAAUAUUUAAUAAAACUAUUUUGGCAGAUUAGUGCAAUAAAUUUAGAAUUUAUUUAUAUAAUUUAAUUAAUUAUAAAUAGUAUUGUUUUAUAUAGAUUAUUUAUUAUCAUUAAUUGGAAGUUUAUUGUUAGUAAUUUGUGUUAUAGUAGGAGUAGCUUUUUUAACUUUAUUAGAACGUAAAGUUUUAGGUUAUAUUCAAAUUCGU
rnacentral:rRNA from 1 species